GAAGGGUGCAAGCGUUACUCGGAAUUACUGGGCGUAAAGCGUGCGUAGGUAGUUCGUUAAGUCUGCCGUGAAAGCCCCGGGCUCAACCUGGGAAUGGCGGUGGAUACUGGCGGACUAGAGUGCGGUAGAGGGUGGUGGAAUUCCCGGUGUAGCAGUGAAAUGCGUAGAGAUCGGGAGGAACAUCUGUGGCGAAGGCGGCCACCUGGACCAGCACUGACACUGAGGCACGAAAGCGUGGGGAGCAAACAGGAUUAGAUACCCUGGUAGUCCACGCCCUAAACGAUGCGAACUGGACGUUGGGCUCAAUUGAGAGCUCAGUGUCGAAGCUAACGCGUUAAGUUCGCCGCCUGGGGAGUACGGUCGCAAGACUG
rnacentral:rRNA from 1 species